UACGGGGGGGGCAAGCGUUGUUCGGAAUUACUGGGCGUAAAGGGCUCGUAGGUGGCCAACUAAGUCAGACGUGAAAUCCCUCAGCUUAACCGGGGAACUGCGUCUGAUACUGGAUGGCUUGAGUUUGGGAGAGGGAUGCGGAAUUCCAGGUGUAGCGGUGAAAUGCGUAGAUAUCUGGAGGAACACCGGUGGCGAAGGCGGCAUCCUGGACCAAGACUGACACUGAGGAGCGAAAGCCAGGGGAGCAAACGGG
rnacentral:rRNA from 1 species